rnacentral:rRNA from 1 species
GAUGAACGCUGGCGGCGUGCCUAAUACAUGCAAGUCGAGCGAACGGACGAUAAGCUUGCUUCUCUGAUGUUAGCGGCGGACGGGUGAGUAAGACGUGGAUAACCUACCUAUAAGACUGGGAUAACUUCGGGAAACCGGAGCUAAUACCGGAUAAUAUUUUGAACCGCAUGGUUCAAAAGUGAAAGACGGUCUUGCUGUUACUUAUAGAUGGAUCCGCGCUGCAUUAGCUAGUUGGUAAGGUAACGGCUUACCAAGGCAACGAUGCAUAGCCGACCUGAGAGGGUGAUCGGCCACACUGGAACUGAGACACGGUCCAGACUCCUACGGGAGGCAGCAGUAGGGAAUCUUCCGCAAUGGGCGAAAGCCUGACGGAGCAACGCCGCGUGAGUGAUGAAGGUCUUCGGAUCGUAAAACUCUGUUAUUAGGAAAGAAAAUAUGUGUAAGUAACUGUGCACAUCUUGACGGUACCUAAUCAGAAAGCAACGGCUAACUACGUG